UGGGGAAUUUUGGACAAUGGGCGAAAGCCUGAUCCAGCCAUGCCGCGUGAGUGAAGAAGGCCUUCGGGUUGUAAAGCUCUUUUAGUCGGAAAGAAAGAGUCGCAAUGAAUAAUUGUGAUUUAUGACGGUACCGACAGAAAAAGCACCGGCUAACUACGUGCCAGCAGCCGCGGUAAUACGUAGGGUGCGAGCGUUAAUCGGAAUUACUGGGCGUAAAGGGUGCGCAGGCGGUUUUGCAAGUCAGAUGUGAAAGCCCCGGGCUUAACCUGGGAGUUGCGUUUGAAACUACAAGGCUAGAGUGCAGCAGAGGGGAGUGGAAUUCCAUGUGUAGCAGUGAAAUGCGUAGAGAUGUGGAAGAACACCGAUGGCGAAGGCAGCUCCCUGGGUUGACACUGACGCUCAUGCACGAAAGCGUGGGGAGCAAACA
rnacentral:rRNA from 1 species